GACUCACCGCUUCUCGUUCAGCGCUUCUGCCCGAUACAAGCUGGCCACCAGUAGAUGAAAGAGGUAUUGCUUGAAAUUCCAGCAGCUUGUGUUGAGCCAGGAGCGCUGAGUGGUAGGCAGUGAGCAGGAGCGGCACAAAACAAAGAUGGCGAGUGGCAUAGCUAUGGGUCAUUCUCGAACAUGUGCCUCCCACAUCUAACAUGGUGGCUUCCCAGGGACGGAAUUCAAAGUGGAAAAUGAUCCCAAAAUAACCACCAUAUUGAUAGCUUCCUCCUCCUCCUCCUCUUCCUCUCCGUUAUUGAGCCCCACCAUCGUGCCCUUCAAGUCCCAGCACCUGCAUCCUGUGCCCCGCCCGCUGGAGCCUCGCCCCGCAGCUGUACGCAGAGCGGUGAUAUAUACACACGCACACGGCCGCAGCAACACUCACAGGAGGACCGUCGUGUUGAAGAAUUGUGUUCCUGUCAUCGUCGCUUGGUUCGGUGACUCCAGUGCCGCACACUACGCGUAUCAGCAGCAUUCUGACAGACAGCACUGAACGAAGCCUCUGCAAUGCGCUCGUCUCUCCUGGCGCUGCUCAUUCUGGCCACGUCGCUGUCUGCGGCCUCAGCCUCUACUUGUCAGCAGUACUACUGUCAGAUUCCUGCGAUGCAGACCUCUGUCGUGCCUUGCUACGAACAGUGUGUCACCAAGGAUCGGUAUGCCAACUGUGUAUUGGACUUAGCGUGUGUGAUUGCGAUUAACAGGCAACGUUGGGUGGGCAAAUGAUCACAGCCACAGCCACGCCUACCGCAGCCUUGUGACACACGCCACAGCCGCCACGCCUGCCGCAGCAGUGCCGGCAUGGAAGGGUAUACAGACACACACCACACGCAGAAAAAGCCUCAAGAAACUUUAAAUAAGACCCAGGAACAAAAAAUACAGAUUGAUUCAAUACACUAUUAUAAUACUGCUGGGUAAUAGUUUAGGCUGUGUAGUAUUACUGACUUGAUGAACUGUUUCUCGUCUCUCUUAGUGUUUCUGUAUGUCAAAACGAGUGUGAGUGUAGCGUUAAAUGCCGAGAAAACAUUCCAUAUCUGCCUUUUUGCCAGGCUCGGGGAAGCGUCCCGCAGGCAGCGCGCCGCCAGGUGUGGAGAGGGAAUGUUUGGCCGUGGCAUAACCCAGACGGCAUCGUGCAUCCACGCCGCUCAGACUCCGCCUCUCGUCCAGCGCUUCUGCCCGAUACAAGCUGCCCACCAGUAGAUGAAAGAGGUAUUGUUUAAGAUUCCAGCAGCUUGUGUUGAGGCAGGAGCGCUGAGUGGCAGGCAGUGAGCAGGAGCGGCACAAAACAAAGAUGGCGAGUGCCAUAGCUAUGGGUCAUAUUCUCGAACACUCCGGUUCCAAUUGAUCUCCUUGUUGGCCUUUUGAAAUAGUUGAUGUGAGUGGCGGGAUUGUCUGAGAAUAUUGACCUUUGUCAUCCCGUAGUCAUCCUUUGGGGAGGAUACAAAUAUACACCACCUGUCUGUCAGUGAGCCGAAGGGGAGUCAGCCUGGCAGGUCUGCAGGGCCAGCACGGAGGCAACAAUCCUAACUUGCUAGCGGAAAGAGUGCAGGCCAGGUGCUUGUUCAAGAGGACUGGGAGGGUUGUGUCUGCGGCAAGCUGUGCGUCUGCUCUUCAUGUGGGGAGAAGAUUUGUUAUGUGUCUUGUCCUUUACUUGCCUGCUCUAGGUUUCAAUGUCUCAGAGUUUUAAUUCUGAUUUCUUCUACUGUGGCGGUGAGUUCUUAAGAGGUAAUGUUUAUAGAGAUUGUUUUUAACAGCAAGGGAAGCAGCUCAAGGGUAAAGAACAAAAGUAGCAACAAAAAAGCCCGCCAGACCGUCAAAAGAAAAAAGAACGAGAGGCCAGAAGAGAGGUCGAUUUCGGGUUAGGAUUAGUUGGUGGUUGCUUAAACUAUAUGAUUGUCUUGCUAGUAAAAGAAUACUUCACUUGUUCAGUUGUUCAUUCAGUUCACUUGUACCUUCUCCGGCAUGUUCUGCAUACAAAAGUUCACUUUCAACACAUUUAGCUUUGACAGGUGAUGUUCGAAAUUCAGCUCUUGCCACUGAUGGGACUUCGAAAAUGGCUCGGCAAACUUGAUGUUCUCUAAUUUGGACUUUUAGUUAAGUUUACUUUAUCUUCUUAAUAGUUGGAGCAUGAAGGAUUGAUGGCAGAGUAAGACUGACAUUAUCAAACGCUUCGGGUUUUUGUUACGACUAUCUUUUAAGGCCAGAGAGAAGCUAGGUCGGGUUGUUAUGAGUGUUUUUCCCGUUCACAGCACGGAAGCCUCGCAAAACUACCGCCAGACUCAUGAAACCACCAAUGGAAACCCCGACAACUUCCGCGAGAGCUUUUUUAACCCGGUAGCAGCGACAGGCCAAAUUUGUGGCUUUAUCGUGUUCCAGCGACGGGCCAAAUUUUUGCUAUGAUAUAAACCCCCCAAAAUAGAUAAUGCAUAAACUGAUCACAAAUGCGUUGAUAUAUAUUAUGAAAUGGUUUGUGUGAGUGAUGAUUUUUUCUCAUUAAUUCGCUUAGAGGGGCCUUUAAAAAACAUGAUCCCGCAGCUACCGGGUUAAAUAAAUGUGCUCCGAACAUAUUGAUAAUAUGGCUGUGGGGUUCUUGAAAGGUCUGGACUACGAAAAUCCGUAAAUUCUCAGCAAUAAAAAAAUAUAAAAUAAAAUAUCUGAAAAUUUAGUUCUCAGACUCACAGCUCCUUCUAGUCACUUAUUAUUUAUAACCAGUCACAUCUCUCUUAGGACAAGCAAAGACGAGAUGAAUCAGCUCUUAAGUUUAUUUAAAGUAACAAAGAAACUCGCUGGAAAUUAAGAAAUAAUUAAUUAAUUCCAGGCACACAGCAACCUAGCUAUCUAUCUUAAAACAUCCUAUGCAAAUAGAGUAUUUAACUGUAGGUGGGCGAAGCACAAGCCACACCUGAUCUACCUCGUGGUCUGGAGCCCUGGAGUCUUCCUUCAGUCCUCUCUCGUACCUCUCUGCAGCACGCCGCCUCUCGUACCUUACCUCCAAGGGCUUCCCUCGCCUGUAGUACACAGUCACCCUGACUUGUGGAUAUUACAAAGGCAGGUAAACCACCACGAAGGACACGUGGUGCGGGAGGUUGGUGCGGGACGUCUGGUCACGGUAGUGUCUGGGAGCAAGAUGGCUGCGGGAAGCGGCGAAGACCCACAAGGCUCAGCUGCCGGGCUUCGCGGUCAAGAUGCCAGCUCUCGCUACACUGACAUCUCUCUUUCUGCAUAACACUUAC